rnacentral:rRNA from 1 species
UACAGAGACUGCAAGCGUUAUUCGGAUUCACUGGGCGUAAAGGGUGCGCAGGCGGUUGGGUGUGUCAGAUGUGAAAUCCCGAGGCUUAACCUCGGAACUGCGUCUGAAACUACUCGACUAGAGUACUGGAGAGGGAGACGGAAUUCACGGUGUAGCAGUGAAAUGCGUAGAUAUCGAGAGGAACACCAGUGGCGAAGGCGGGUCUCUGGACAACACCUGACGCUGAGGCACGAAAGCCAGGGGAGCAAACGGG